rnacentral:rRNA from 1 species
UACAGAGGGUGCGAGCGUUAAUCGGAAUUACUGGGCGUAAAGCGCACGUAGGUGGCGACGUAAGUCGGGUGUGAAAGCCCCGGGCUCAACCUGGGAAUUGCAUUCGAGACUGCAUUGCUGGAGUACGGAAGAGGAGGGCGGAAUUCCCGGUGUAGCGGUGAAAUGCGUAGAUAUCGGGAGGAACAUCAGUGGCGAAGGCAGGUCUCUGGGCCACUACUGACGCUGAGAAGCGAAAGCAUGGGGAGCGAACAGG